rnacentral:rRNA from 1 species
CACUGCCGAGAAAAGCCUCUAGAUAGAAAAUAGGUGCCCGUACCGCAAACCGACACAGGUAGUCAAGAUGAGAAUUCUAAGGUGAGCGAGCGAACUCUCGUUAAGGAACUCGGCAAAAUGACCCCGUAACUUCGGGAGAAGGGGUGCUCUUUAGGGUUAACGCCCAGAAGAGCCGCAGUGAAUAGGCCCAAGCGACUGUUUAUCAAAAACACAGGUCUCUGCUAAACCGUAAGGUGAUGUAUAGGGGCUGACGCCUGCCCGGUGCUGGAAGGUUAAGAGGAGUGGUUAGCUUCUGCGAAGCUACGAAUCGAAGCCCCAGUAAACGGCGGCCGUAACUAUAACGGUCCUAAGGUAGCGAAAUUCCUUGUCGGGUAAGUUCCGACCCGCACGAAAGGCGUAACGAUUUGGGCACUGUCUCAACGAGAGACUCGGUGAAAUCAUAGUACCUGUGAAGAUGCAGGUUACCCGCGACAGGACGGAAAGACCCCGUGGAGCUUUACUGUAGCCUGAUAUUGAAAUUCGGCACAGCUUGUACAGGAUAGGUAGGAGCCUUUGAAACGU